CCUUUGUAUCUCUAUUCCAUGUUUAUUUACUAAACAAUGAAUUAUACUUAAAAUUACAUGGUCACAUUUAACGUUUUAGAGGAACAAAAUGGUUAAAUAAAACUUAGCUGUUGGCUAUACAAAUCUUCAUGUACGUUAUUCUUCAAGCACACUGGGCAAAACAUGCAAAUUGGUAACUCCAGUUAGGAUGGUCAUUUGCUUGUACGGAAUGUAUUUCUCAUCGUAUGUGAAUAGAAUGUAUUUGCUUAUGAAUUCAAGUCCUUGAGGAGAAACAAGUCAAGCUAGGUUUGUGAGGGCUGCCUCCGGCAUAGUAUGAUUUCCGUCAUUUAUGGAAUUUAAAUGACACGUCAAUAAUCCUAAGUACAUUAACAAAGCUUGUGUAUUUGACUUGGCUUAGGGAUCCUUCUUGUAUAAAGGGUGUAAUGCAUACGAAGUUGCAACUGGAUGGUUGAAAACCUGAAUUCACAGGAAUAUCCUUUUAAUGGUAAAGAUUUAAAUGUCUUUCCACAUUCUGAAAUGUUUCUUUACUCACAUAUGAAAUAACAGACCGUGCUUUGUGACACCCUGUCAUAGGAUAUAAAAGAAAUUAGUAGCGCUUUAAAGAGAUUCUAUAGUGUUAUGAAUACAAAUCUGUAUUCCUAACACUACAAUGCCUUCUGUUCCCCCCUGCACAUUAAGGGGAGUUGGGAGGAGGGGCUAAUGUAUGGUGAGCUCCACAAGCGCAUUAGGCCCUCCCCAUAGGAAAGCAGUACCUCGAUGCUUUCCUAUGGGAAUUUCACUGACCCUUUAUGUCCUCAUGCAGACUGUGAGGACAUCAAGCAUCGUUUCAGUGGAACCAGAGUCUGGAAACUGGAAGCGCCUUAAAUUCCUGACAAUUCACCCAAUAAGAUAUAUUCAGUGAAUUCAAAAGGCAAAACUGAGAUUUGAUUUCUUGCCAAGAGGUCUACAUCGUUUUAGGAAAUGCCAUUUUUAAAAUUAGAGCAGAUAAACUGAUUCAGAAUACCAAGCAUUUCCACUGCAGAAAUAUUCGUAAAAUACUAGUGAAGAAUUUUCAAGACCACAGAAUUGGCAUGGGAUUUUCUGAUGCUUUAUUAUUGAUACAAGCCGAUUCGGGGGUGAAGGUCCUUGGCGAUGCAGACAAACUCUAUAUCCUUAAGUUCAUCAACACUAAUCUUAAAAUCCCCAAUGCUGCUUCAAGAGUUCGAAUUGACACCAGAAAAUCAAACUUCAAAUGUCCACACUGAACAUGGUACCAAUAUAUCCUAUUUCUCUUGAACAUGUCACCUAAAAUCAUUUCUAAUAGGUAUGUUUUUCUUCUUUCUUACAACCAGCGAGAACAGAUACAGUGGUAAUACACCACGAUUUGCAGCAGCCGCUUUAAACUGUACUAAAACAAGGAUAUCUUUUUGUCGUUGAGCUCAGUUCCUUAAACUCACAUUUCCCAGCAAUCAUACGCGGGAGUUUCCAAUAUUUGUCACAAAAAUGGAAAUUCGGUUAUUUACCAUUAGAAAGUCACAGCCCAUCAGUUUUUCUACAAUGUUCUAUCUGUCUAACAGCUUUAUUUGGUAGCCAAUUAUUGUAUAUACAUUAUUCACACAAGGUUUCCAGGGGCUGUAGUGUUAAGAUUAUGAUUAUUAUAGGUGAUAUUAAUUAAUUAAUUUGGGCUAUAUUGGUAAAAAUACAGCCCUUAUGAUGAACCACAAAUAAGAACGUUUGCUCUUCCACUGACGCAGCAUAAUGGACUGAAGGCCAAAACUGCCUCUACUUGACAAGCAACCUAGUAAGAACUCACUGCUGCCACCCAGUGACCAAGAUGGAUAGUUACUGGAAAGCUAAAUUCAAAAUGAUAGAAUAAUCACCUUCCCAAUGGAUGAUUAUACAGCACAUUUUUGUUUUAACAUGUAGGUGGCUGCUGUUCGGUUAUCUUACCAUGUUGUACAGGAUUGAGUCUUUAUUCUAAGUAUAAUAUAUAAAUAAGGAAGUAAAUCUGCAUUUUAUGCCUUCCCCCCUGAAAAAAAUAUCUGUUAUAUCUAUUUUUUAUUUUUACAUUAUUAUAUGACCCCAUAAAAAUAACAAAACAAAC